rnacentral:rRNA from 1 species
UACGUAGGGUGCAAGCGUUGUCCGGAAUUAUUGGGCGUAAAGGGCUCGUAGGCGGUCCAUCACGUCGGGAGUGAAAAGCUGGGGCUUAACCCCAGUCCUGCUUCCGAUACGGGUGGACUAGAGGUAGGUAGGGGAGAACGGAAUUCCUGGUGUAGCGGUGGAAUGCGCAGAUAUCAGGAGGAACACCGGUGGCGAAGGCGGGUCUCUGGGCCGAUACUGACGCUGAGAAGCGAAAGCGUGGGGAGCGAACAGG